rnacentral:rRNA from 1 species
AGCGAACGCUGGCGGCAGGCUUAACACAUGCAAGUCGAACGGCUCUUUCGGGAGCAGUGGCAGACGGGUGAGUAACACGUGGGAACGUGCCUUUUGGUUCGGAACAACUCAGGGAAACUUGAGCUAAUACCGGAUGUGCCCUUCGGGGGAAAGAUUUAUCGCCAUUAGAGCGGCCCGCGUCUGAUUAGCUAGUUGGUGAGGUAAAGGCUCACCAAGGCUACGAUCAGUAGCUGGUCUGAGAGGAUGAUCAGCCACACUGGGACUGAGACACGGCCCAGACUCCUACGGGAGGCAGCAGUGGGGAAUCUUGCGCAAUGGGCGAAAGCCUGACGCAGCCAUGCCGCGUGAAUGAUGAAGGUCUUAGGAUUGUAAAAUUCUUUCAGUGGGGACGAUAAUGACGGUACCCACAGAAGAAGCCCCGGCUAACUUCGUGCCAGCAGCCGCGGUAAUACGAAGGGGGCUAGCGUUGCUCGGAAUUACUGGGCGUAAAGGGCGCGUAGGCGGAUCGUUAAGUCAGAGGUGAAAGCCCAGGGCUCA